rnacentral:misc_RNA from 1 species
AAGUCGUAACAAGGUCUCCGUAGGUGAACCUGCGGAAGGAUCAUUAACACGUUCCACGUAUCAACCCGAGCACUCGUUUUUACUCUGAUUAAGCUCCAGUUUAGCACCCUACAAACCUCGCAUUUCAGUCCGCAAACGAUAAGGAAACAGACUGAUCAAGUCUGGCGGCUGGCGAUUUGGUAUAGUCUCCUCUGCAUGCAGAGGAGAAAGGGCUCUGGAUGUCUGGUCAUGCUUCUAUUCCUUGUCGAUCUUUCACAAUCAUUUACCCCAUUCCAAAACGUACUAAUUUAUAUUUCUUUCUUAAGAAAUUGGAACACUUUCUGCUGCUUUACCGCAGUCGGGAGCGCUCUAACCAACUAAGAAAAACCUUAAGAACAACUCUUAACAACGGAUAUCUUGGCUCUC